UACGAAGGGGGCUAGCGUUGCUCGGAAUCACUGGGCGUAAAGGGUGCGUAGGCGGGUCUUUAAGUCAGGGGUGAAAUCCUGGAGCUUAACUCCAGAACUGCCUUUGAUACUGAAGAUCUUGAGUUCGGGAGAGGUGAGUGGAACUGCGAGUGUAGAGGUGAAAUUCGUAGAUAUUCGCAAGAACACCAGUGGCGAAGGCGGCUCACUGGCCCGAUACUGACGCUGAGGCACGAAAGCGUGGGGAGCAAACAGG
rnacentral:rRNA from 1 species